UAUUAUUAGUAGUAAACUAUUCACAUUAGUUCACAAAUCAUAGUUGGUUUCUAGCAAAAUAUUAUGAUUACCUAAAAUAACCGAUUAUAAUUAAUCUCCAUAUUUGUCCUAAUUACAAUUAGUAAUUACAAUUGAUUGACGGACAUUUCCUUCAAUAUAGUAUGAUGAUUGUUGUUUUUCUUGCUUUUUAUAUGAUUGUUGUUAUCAUAAGAUUGUUUCAGUAUAUAAAAGUUUUUUUUUUUUUUUUUGAAUUUGAUGUUAUUUAGUGUUAAUUGCAGGUGAAAAAUCGCUGGGCGGGGAAAACUAUUGUUGACAUGUUCUCUGAGGACAUUAGAGGGCUAAAUCAGAAUUACUAUGGAAAAAAAUAUUUUCAAAUUAGCUCAAGGAGAGCACAUAGCACCAGAGAAAAUUGAGAAUGUGUAUGCCAAGUGCAGAUUCGUAGCACAGUGCUUUGUAUAAGGUUUUUGAGAGUUUGGUUUGCUGUGGGAGUUGGUUUCAGUUUAACUUUGCCUUUUGGAGUCACCAUGAUUCUUAUUUGGGAUUCAGUGGCUACUUUAUGUCUAUCUGAUGGAAGCGAUAGGAUUAGUAACUUCGACGAAUUCCAAUUGCGGUGUUGCAGUAAGACAUGAAGAGGGUGUUAAGUUACAGAAGUUUUCAGGGUCAGCAAGCGAGUGCGUGGUACCAAGGUUUACAGUCUCAAGUAUGAUCAGCCCUGUGAUAUACAUUCUUUCGGGAUGUGUGCUUCAGAAUUCAGAUGAUGAGUAGAGAAAAUAUUUACAGUGAAUGCAGGAAUUGGAAUGAGAUUGAGAUGAUGAUUACGAGAGGUGUAAUGCCUGCUGCACUAAAAAUGCAGUAGCAGAUGAUCAGAUUAAGGAGUUUAUUAAGAGUUGUCUGGUUGGUUCAGUAAGAGAACUGCUGCAUCUGAUCUGCUGAGAUGCCCGUUUAUCAUAACCAAAGAUUUGUUUGCUGAUAUAAUACUAACAAGGGAGACCAGCAUAGGUAAUUCAGAAGCUAAUGAGAGAUGGCAUCGAAUGGUUCAGAGAUAUGAUGAAAAAGGCAAAGGUGUUUGGAGUCCAAAGCUGUCAAAACUGAAAUCAAUUUUUCUCAAGAACAAAUAAAUGAUUGAUUAUUUAGUACAACACUAAACUUUUACAAGAUUUUAAUAGUUCUUUUAUGUUAGAUUACAUAUCAAAAUUUGUUAUUAAAUUUAUGUAGUAUGCUAGUAAGAUUAUUUAGGGUGUCAAUCAAUAAGUAUGAUUUUACUCAGUUUUAGGUUUCUAACAUACUACCUAAUAAGUAUGUAUGAUUUUACUCAGUGUUUUGUAUGCUUAUUUGUUAUCAGUUGUAAGUGUUUGAUUUGUGUCAAGAACAAUGCUAAGUUAGUUGAUUGGAAUAAAAUUCAUUAU